rnacentral:tRNA from 1 species
GUAAAUAUAGUUUACCUAAAACACUAGAUUGUGAAUCUAGAAACAGAAGCAAUAACCUUCUUAUUUACC